GCUGCAAAGCAGAAUCACUUCAGCAGCACAUAUAUAAAAUUGGAAUGAUAUAGGGUAGAUUAGCAUGGCCUCUGUGCAAGGAUGACACACACAUUCAUGAGAUGUUCCAUAUGAUG
rnacentral:snRNA from 1 species